ensembl:lncRNA
CAGAGCCCUCAGGGCUCCUCCCAGCUGCAGCAGCCGGUGAGUCCAUUCCAACAGUUUUCCCAUGCAGCCAGCCUUCUCGUGAGCAACUGCCAUCGCAGCCCUCUGUCCUAGCUCACAUGGUGGAUGCUGUGUUCAGGGGAUAAUGAGGGAUCAUCAUGGCUGCCUUUUUUUAGUUCUCAAGCUCAACUGAAAACCGCCACCGUAGUGCUGUUAAGACACAUGACAGGUGGCUCCAUUCAGUGCCCAGGACAGACACAAGACCGGCUCCGUCCCUGCUCAGACAGCUGUAGGGGACAGCGAGUCCCUUCCUUCCUUGGCUGGAGGAGACUUCACCCAGGCCCUGCCUCUCGUGCAUCUCAGGUCUGCUUUUAUGAUCCCAGACAGCUCCGUUAGCGAUCUCCUCCUGGCUCUGGCCACAGGGACAUAAUCUUCAGCUCUGCCACUAAUUAAAACACCACCAAGGCAAAGUCACCUAACACCUCAAGCCCAAUCCUCCUUGAGUGGAAAAUCAAGAUGACAGAACUUCAUAGGGCCUUUAACAAUAUCAAGUAAGAACUUACUUCCAUGGGUGCGUGCCUACCCCAGGGCCCACAUACCCUAAGCACUCAACAAACACUCGUUAAAUCAGAACUGUAGUCGUCAGUCUCCAAACCUGGCAGAGGCAAGGGAAAAGAUUUUUUGUCACUCAGAGGCAAAUGAUUUUGGAACCUGGUGAUCCCCCAAAGUACUAGAAAUUUAAUUCUAAUAAUUUAAUUCUAGUAAGUCAAUACUUGCUAGGUUCCCAGCUCAGUUCUAGGGGCUGAGGAUGAAGAGAAGAAAGAGACACGCAAGAACUUGCUCCCCUGGGACUUGAUCGGUGCAAGCAACUUGAAAGCUUGAAGUUUAAAUCCACUUGGGGACAAUAGCAUCACACAGAUCUGUUAGGCCAGAGGGGGAAAACCAGGUCUCCAGCCCUAAGCCUGGCCCCAGAGAAGAGCAGCUGCACAUGCGGUGACAAGGCCUUGACAGUCUCAUCAUAAAGCACAGUCCCGUGUGGGAAGGACUGAGACUCUAAUGCAGAGUGGCCUUUCUAUAUCCAUAUCAAUGCAUCUCGGUGUGCACAGGGAGAGGCGGAAAACAUUAGUGGUUUUGCUCUGAGUUGUACAACAACAGGUUUUCUUUUAUUCAGGUUUAUAUAUACUUUCUAAAUGUCCUGAAAUAAGCAUGUAUUAUUUUUACAAUACAGAAGCAAAAUUGGGCGGGGGAUAUAGCUCAGUGGUGCUACGCCUGCCUUGAAAGCACAAGGUCCUGAGUUGGAUUCCUGGUACCAAAAAAGAAAAAAAGAAAAACCAACCUGUCCUUCUUUUUAUAAGAGUCAUCGGAUACAGGUCUGAGUGUAAAAGAAACCAACAGGUUUUGUCAGCUCACCCCGGCAGGGGUCUCCUGGUUCCGUCUCCCCUUACAUUGGCUCGUUGCCCUGAAUCCUAAUUUUCAACACCAACUCCAAUCACAAUUUUGAACAGCUCUGCACUGAGCUCCCUCCUGCUAUCGCUUAAGCCGACCCAUGGUCUCAGAGCAGCAUACACUAGUGCAGACGACACACUGCACAACGCGAGUUUGCAAUUACUGCAGAUGAUGUUGCGAAUGACGCCUCUUGAGGGGUGCAGUGCCCA